GACAGAGUAGAUAUUUGCGCGUUAAGUGUUAAGAGGACGGGAAGUUGCCUUUUAAACGAAAAACUUUUGUUUGCGGUGUAAAUAUUGCAUUCCGCUGUU
rnacentral:ncRNA from 20 species